CGCGAGUCCUGGUACGGAGGGCGGACGCGGCAGUAUUUAGAUAAGAAGGCGGUGCUGCGCGGGCGCGGCGGCCCGGGAAGGGCAGGGCAGAGAUGGGGUUUCACCAUGUUGCCUAGGCUGGUCUGGAACUCCUGGACUCAAGCGAUGCCUCCUUGGCCUCCCAAAAUGCUGGGAUUACAGAGUCUCACGCUGUCGCCAGGCUAGAGUGCAGUGGCACAGUCUCAGCUCACCGCAAGCUCCACCUCCUGGGUUCAAGCAAUUCUCCUGCCUCAGACUCCUGAGUAGCUGGGACUACAGGUGUCCACCACCACGCUCAGUUGGUUGGAGCCACAAGAUCAAAUCCUGGCUCAUGGAAUAUGGUCAGAAGUGAUGAUGCCAAUUCUGGGCCUGGCCCAUAAAACCUCCCAUCUAAUCUUUGCUCUUUCUUCAUCUGCUGGCCAAAUGAAGAUUUUAAGCAGAAUCACAGAAUGGGAAGAGCCUGGGUCCCUGAAUUACUAUAUGGAGCAGAACUCCUCCGCAAACCUACUUAUGACUGUGAUAAGAGCAAUGUGGUAAGUAUUGUGCUUCGCUAUCGCAGCAGCUAGCAUCAUUUAGUCUAACAGAGGUGGAAACGGGAUGAAGAGGAAAAAGGAAGAAAACAAUGAUGGGCAUAUAGUACGAAUGAUGUUAACUACUGGACUCCUAUGCUAUAUGCAUGUUGAGGCGAGUCAAAAGAGAAGAAGUAACUGAGGACAGCCCGGAGAAAAACCCUAGGAGGGAUAUAGGUGGCAUAAAGUUAAAAAAGAAAUGACUACUGAGUAGUAGAAGAAGUAAAGAUGGAAAGACGGAGUCUCACUCUGCGCCAGGCUGGAGGGCAGUGGUGCAAUCUCGGCUCACCGCAACCUCCACCUCCCGUGUUCAAACAAUUCUCCUGCCUCAGCCUCCUGAGUAGCUGACACUACAGGUGCGUGCCACUACAUCCAGCUAAGUUUUGUAUUUUUAGUAGAGACGGGGUUUCACCAUGUUGACCAGGAUGGUCUCGAUCUCUUGACCUCAUGAUCCACCCGCCUCGGCCUCCCAAAGUGCUGGGAUUACAGGCAUGAGCCACUGCACCCAGCCUGUGUCUUAUUUUUGAGAGAACAAAUUUCUUUCUUGGUAAUUAUUUACAAUAGUAUAGUUUCAUUACAUUGGGGAAAAGGAUCCUUUUGUCCUUCUAAACUGGUUAUAAGCCCUUAAUGCAAAUAGGAUUGCUGGUUUACUUCAAUUUAAACUAGGAAUUUUAGCUUGGCUCACAAAAAGCUAUAUAUUAAUAGCUAGGGUUAAAGUCAAUGCAGUUGGCCAGCUGAAAAUGGGCAACCUAUAAGUACCAAACAGCAAAAAAGGAACUGCAGAUUUGCUUGGUUAUUUCACCCAAUGUAUGGCUCUCCAGUAAAAGGCUUAUUCUGCAUGGCAGGUGUAAAUGAAUAAACAACACAGACAUGUUUAUGGUCCUUUCUACAGAAAUAUCUAUGAGAAAAGCUACUGAUAUGUUUUAUAUUAUGCUCAAAAUAGUCAAAAAGAAAAAGCUCAGCAACAUUUGAAAAGCCAAAAAACCCUAUCCAAUACAGUUAUUGGAGACUAGGCUGGGCAUGGUGGCUCAUGCCUGUAAUCCCAGCACUUUGGGAGGCUGAGGCUGGCAGAUCACCUGAGAUCAGGAGUUCAAGACCAGCCUGGCCAACAUGGCGAAACUCUGUCUCUACUAAAAAUACAAAAAUUAGCUGGAUGUGGUGGUAGGCGCCUGUAAUCCCAGCUACUUGGGAGGCUGAGGCAGGAGAAUCACUUGAACCUGGGAGGCAGAGGUUGCAGUGAGCCAAGAUCAUGCCGCUGCACUCCAGACUGGGCAACAGAGUAAGGCUCCAUCUCAAAAAAAAAAAAAAAAAACCCUAAAACAAGCAGAAAAGUUAUUGUAGACUAAAAUUACACAUUCAAAAGAAGGCAGAAGAAUUCUCUUUUGAUUAAGGGAAAAUAAGACUAUCUAAUGUUAAAGACUUGGCUGUCCCGAGAAUUACAUCCUUAUUAUAAGUUGAGUUACAGAAGUGAUCAGCUAGGAGAGCCUUUUCCUCGGCAUUAUGAACACAAACAGAUGUACCUAGUGAGAGAAGCAUAACUUGCUGCUCCUUAAAAUAUUCGUCAGAAAAUUGAAGGCUGUUGAUAGUUAGCUUUAACAGGGGGAAAUGGACAGGAAAAAGGUUCUUUUAGAGAACUGGAGAAGGCAAGGGGGUCUUUUUUUUUUUUUUGAGACAGAGUCUUACUCUGUCACCCAGGCUGGAGAGCAGGGGCACCAUCUCGGCUCACUGCAACCUCCGCCUCCUUGGGUUCAAGUGAUUCUCAUGCUUAAGUCCCCUGAAUAGCUGGAAUUACAGGCAUGCACCACCACGCCCAGCUAAUUUUUGUAUUUUUAAAAGAGAUGGGGUUUCACCAUGUUGGCCAGGCUGGUCUUGAACUCCUGACUUCAAGUGAUCCACCCCGCCUCGGCCUCCCAAAGUGCUGGGUUUACAAGCGUGAACCACUGUGCCAGGACGGCAAGGGGCUUUUUAAAGCCCAGAAGCUUCUACAUGAUUUCUGGGAGGUCAGGAGAAUCCCAUUAACAGAAUGAACUAAACUGUGUUAAAUCAGUUUCAAUUAGUUAUCAGGUUACCUACAUGGAACAGAUAGUUCUAUUUCUUUAAAUUUACUAGGUAUUGUUUCUUAAUGUUAGCAUGUAAAUAUAAGAAGUAUUAACAUAAUAUUUAUAAAGUUAUGGCAAAAUAAAUUCUUUUUCUUAUAGAGAACACAUACUCAAUCUAGACGAACAAAUGUGUUCUGAAUCUCAGCUGGUCCAUUCUUACUAAAGGUAUUAACUUCCACCUAGUGGUCAGUUCUAGAACUGAGGGCAUGAAAUUCCAGGAGGAAACUUUACAUAAGCAUGCCCUUAAAAAAGGUAUUGCAGUGCUUUCAGGAACGGUGCACCCACAGCCGGGCGCAGUGGCUCACGCCUGUAAGCCCAGCACUUUGGGAGGCCGAGGUGGGCGGAUCAUGAGGUCAGGAGAUUGAGACCAUCCUGGGUAACAUACUGAAACCCUGUCUCUACUAAAAAAAAAAAAAAAAAAAUACAAAA